GCUGAGGAACGUCUUGUUGGGAGGAUUGAGCUUCGACGUAGGGAAUCCAUCGCCCGAUCACCAGAAGUCACACUUGUCGGCCGCAAUUCUUCAUUUUCCAUUGGAUCGCCAGUAGCAACAUUGCUGGGGUCUAUCCUCAAUUGCGCGGUGGUAGUUGGGUUGCUGCUAAUUUACUUGAUAGGGACCUUGUUUGCUGAGAGAGAGAGAGCGAGAGCGAGACUGAGAGAAGGCGAGCAAGAGAGAUAGAGUAGAGCGUGAUUCUUCAUGAGCUUUUGAGGAAUUUCUUCAGCUUCUGGAAAGAUUGCGGGUUUUGUGAGAUGUAUCGGAAUUCCGUGGAGGUAUGGCAUUAAGGACGCCAUGGCUGGCGCCUGCUGCCACGGCGCAGCUUAUUGCCUUCUCCUUGAAGGCGCCUCACGCUACGAAUUGUGGUCCUAGGAGGUGCGUUGCAAAUGUGCAGACGAUGGUGUUCCAUUCGUUGAGGCUGCAGGAACGUUUCUCCUGUGGGAGCUGAGCUGGGGGUUUUUGGAAUCCUCUCGAGAAGUUGGGUAUGUCUGGAUUGAGGAAUUCUGGGAAAGUGGUUCAGGGAGAGUUGUUGGUUGCCAGAGCUUUAACAUAAGGAGCUGUGCAAGGAGACAGGACUGGGAAACUCAAGGGCUCCGAGGGCAGGGUGCGGUUUGCUCCAUCGCUCACUGGGAAUCUUCAGGUUGGCGGAGCUCGGACUGCGCUUUUCAACUAUCUUUUUGCGAAGUGGGCAACAUCUACGUUUGAUGCCGACCGAAGAUAUAGCAACUAUGUUCAGAGAGCAGUGGUUGAAGGCAGGAAUCAUCUUUGAGUCAGUCUCAGGAUCAUUUAUCAAUGUAACUGUCUAGCUUUUGAAAACAAACUUUGAAAUGAUAUGCUUUCUAUCAAAAUUAGAUUUCUGAUGCUUAUAUGAAUUAACUUGUAGCUCUUUAGAUUAUUUACGUGGUAUUUAGAGCUUGAUGCGAUUCCAAAAUGCAACACAACACAUACAUUACCCUGAGAGUUAUUUUUCUUAAAAGUGAUAUUAAUUUCAUGGUAGUAGAGUUCCCCGAUUUGUUCUAUAAAGAUUAGGAAAACAAAUAGACAGACCCCUCAGGCAGUCUUUGCCAUACCGCUUUGGGCACCUUCAGAAACAACUUGGAUAAAGAAUGAUCUAGACUACGCGGACAACUAAACCGUGAUGCUUCAGGUGGCGAUGGAGCUGCUGAAGAAUGGGACUGAGCUAGUUGCUAACUCUGGAAACCACUUGCUCAGCAUUCUACAUUAUCCUCUCAAGGAGACUUAAGCCCUGAAGUGAAGGAUGUAGUGGAUGACAACAUAUCUGAAGUUGCAAACGCCAUCAUCGGUGCACAUGAAUGACAGUGGAGAGUUGCAAGUCGCCGUUGAAGGAGGCCAUGGUGCUGGGAACAAGUGGAUCAAAGCAAUGGGAAAAAGUUUCAAGCGCAAGGCAAACUUUUUUUUACUACCAAUCGCUUCACAGAUCAUAAAAAUAGACUGCUUGCAAAUCUGGCUGGUGACAAGAGUACUCAUAGCCCACUGGCGAUGUUGGAAAUAAUUGUAGGGCAAGCGUUUGUUCAUGCCUGUUCGAGUACUACUUACUGGGUCAAUGAAAUGUCUCGAGGUUGGGGCUUUACUUGGCCUUGUAAGAGAGGAGCAGGCAAGUGGUUCAGUGACUCAGAAGGCUGGGUUAGUGCCCCUAUCUGACCGAAUCAAAAUUUUGCGAGGUGGACUGAGCCGCUGUUUCUAGCGAACUUGAUGAAAGCGCCAGCCAAGCUAGGGUAUCAGCUCUCUCACAUUAGGCCUCAACUCAGUUUGUAAAUAGAUUGAUUCAUCGUACAAAGGUGCAUUGAUUAGUAGUUCCCAUUUAUUGAGGGCUUUCUGCGAGAUGGCUUGGAUGCAUUAAGUCAAUGUUUGCUGCCAAGGGCUAUGCAUGAAAACUGUAGCCUGGACUGAGACUUUUAAUCAGUUUGAAUCAUUUGUGGGAAUAGUUUAGACACGUCCAUUUUAUGUCAAUGAGAAGUGAGACCCAUGUAAUGGUUGCCGCCUGUUCUAAGCGUAAUCAAAAUGUAAAGAUUAUGUUCUGGAGGUA